rnacentral:rRNA from 1 species
UACGAAGGGGGCUAGCGUUGCUCGGAAUCACUGGGCGUAAAGGGUGCGUAGGCGGGUCUUUAAGUCAGAGGUGAAAUCCCUGGAGCUCAACUCCAGAACUGCCUUUGAUACUGAGGAUCUUGAGUACGGGAGAGGUGAGUGGAACUGCGAGUGUAGAGGUGAAAUUCGUAGAUAUUCGCAAGAACACCAGUGGCGAAGGCGGCUCACUGGCCCGAUACUGACGCUGAGGCACGAAAGCGUGGGGAGCAAACAGG